AGUUCCUUGGAAAUCAGCUCUAGGACACAGCCCCAAGAAUGGCUCUGGCAGACCCCAGUACUCUACCUAUGACACUGUGCAGAAACUGGAGUCCCCAGAUAGACCUGAUUAAUACUAGCCAUGAAGAACAGUUCAUCUGUCUUAUUGGGAGUGGUCACAUGCUCUGGACUCACUUCAGCUCACUGGUUCCUGCUCCAUCACUGUGUGUCAUGAGGCAGAGCAUAUGAACCAGUGUGGUCCGUACCUUCUCUUUCAUGCAGAUAAAGGGGCAGAAGGGGAGGAUACAGCAGCCAAGGCCUGCUGCUUUCAGGUGUGAGGAAAUCUGCCAAAUGCUUCUUUUUGCGGCAGGGCCAGUGAGGCUGUGGAGUCGCCAGGGCUUUCUGGAGGCUGAUGGUCUGUGGAAACCAUGAAGCCAUUUCCUACAAGCCUUAGGCCAUCUGUGCACCUUCUGAACCCUGGCUGUAUCUCAGACAGCACUGCCAGAAAGGUGUAAAAGCUGCAGAGACACAAUUGCUGAGGCCUGAAGCAGCAGUAACAUCAGCUCCAUAUACUUUGGCUCUUUUCCUCAAUGGCCAAGUCGAACACCCCAAUGUGACACAUAGCAACUCCACCGUGUAAAUAUCAUGACAAGCUUCAUUAAUGCUUGGGGACACUAGUCUGCACUGGCAUUCUGUAGCACCUGACAGCAAGAUGGGGCUUCAACCAUGCCAACUCCCAUGCUUCCAUACAGUAAAACAACUAUAUGCACCCAGUCGUGAAUGACUUGUUUGUUCUUGUUGUCAUUGAUUUUAAUUACAAGUCCCUGUGAAAGAGCAGUGUGUGUGUCUCCACUGUACCAGGCUGCAGUAACA